UACGAAGGGGGCUAGCGUUGCUCGGAAUCACUGGGCGUAAAGCGCACGUAGGCCGAUUGUUAAGUCAGGGGUGAAAUCCUGGAGCUCAACUCCAGAACUGCCCUUGAUACUGACGGUCUUGAGUUCGGGAGAGGUGAGUGGAACUGCGAGUGUAGAGGUGAAAUUCGUAGAUAUUCGCAAGAACACCAGUGGCGAAGGCGGCUCACUGGCCCG
rnacentral:rRNA from 1 species